rnacentral:lncRNA from 1 species
CAAGAAAUACGAUAUAACACCCGCCAGCCCGAGGCCUGCAUAGCAGUGGAGGAAGGGAAGGACGUCCUUAUCAUGGAUCUCUGCAAAGAUACCGUUCCGGAGAAUCAGGAGUUCGUCCUACAGGAGGACGGCACGUUAGUCCACAAGCAGAGCGGGAAAUGUGUGGAGGCCACGGAGAAGGAGUUCGACACUUCCUUUGCUCCGCACUUGCGGGAUUGUAGCAGCUCAGACAACCAGAGGUGGCUCUUCAAGGAGCGCAUGUCAUAGCACACCGCCUCGCCAGGGAAGGAGCCCACCGCUGCCAUGGGCUGUGUGCCCGGUGAGAUGGACAAAGCACAUGGUUGUCAUCUGUGAAUGUGUUGGACUCCACAGCAAUGUGAAUCAUCUUUGUACAGAUUUGGAAAACUUUAAAAAUGUCUCCCAGUGUCCCGUUUUCUAAGGGCAAUCCUAAGAUGUUGCCUUUGGUGUUUGGGAAACUUAAUGCACGAUGUGCAUUUUACCCAUGGUGCCUUUUAUUCUUAUUCGCAGAAAGGGUAAAUAUUUUAUUUUGUUACUUACAAAGCUUCCCGGGUGUUUAGUAUAAUUUACACAAACUGGUAAUACCUCAAAUGUCGACUGGUAAUACCUCAAUGUCAUCAAGUUAGAGUUCUCUCAGGGGGGUGAGACGGACACUAGAAAUCCUGUCUUGAUUUCAUUUGGUGUGAGUGGGUGGGAUAGUCUAGAUUUAUACAAUAAAGAAUGCUUUUUGCUUAUGU